UCGGUGACUAUACAUGUACGUAAUGUCGUUGUCAGUCGUUCUUCUUUAUAACUCUGUUGGAGCAGUGUUUGUGUAAGUAGCAUACCCUUGACUAUACUGCUUUAUAUCGGUGACUAUACGGAAUGUUGAUCUCAGUCGUUCUUCUUUAUAACUCUGUUGGAGAGGUGUUUGUGUAAGUAGUAUAUCCUUGACUAUACUGCUUUAUAUCGGUGACUUUACGGAAUGUUGAGAAGUUAAGGUAUCCAAUAUAAAGACGGAAGAUUUUCAUCGUUCUUUUUUUAUAAUUAUAUUACCGAAUGGAUGGAUUCAUAUUUAUAACAUCACGCCUAAUGUUUUUUUUUUUUGUUGUUUUUUUUUUGUAAAUGUACGGUUACAUCACUUUGUUUAAAG
rnacentral:lncRNA from 1 species